GGAUUGUGGCUCAGCGGUAGAGCGCUCGCCUGGCAUGUGCGAGGCCCUGGGUUCGAUCCUCAGCACCA
rnacentral:tRNA from 1 species